UACAGAGGGUGCAAGCGUUUGUUCGGAAUUACUGGGCGUAAAGCGCGUGUAGGCGGUCUGAUAAGUCGGUCGUGAAAGCCCUUGGCUUAACCAAGGAACUGCGAUCGAAACUGUCGGACUAGAGUGUCGGAGGGGGUGGCGGAAUUCCCGGUGUAGAGGUGAAAUUCGUAGAUAUCGGGAGGAACACCUGUGGCGAAGGCGGCCACCUGGAAGAUUACUGACGCUGAGACGCGAAAGCGUGGGGAGCGAACAGG
rnacentral:rRNA from 1 species